rnacentral:rRNA from 1 species
UACGUAGGGACCGAGCGUUGUCCGGAAUCAUUGGCGUAAAGAGCGUGUAGGCGGCCACUUAAGUCCUGCGUGAAAUCUUGCGGCUCAACCGCAAGCGGUCGUGGGAAACUGGGUGGCUAGAGUGCGGGAGAGGAGAGUGGAAUUCCUGGUGUAGCGGUGGAAUGCGCAGAUAUCAGGAAGAACACCCGUGGCGAAGGCGGCUCUCUGGAACGCAACUGACGCUGAGACGCGAAAGCGUGGGGAGCAAACAGG